GCUAGAGUGACUAUGCAACCACAAGACAAAGUAGACUUUGUACAGAGAAGAUUAGCAUGGCCCCUGUGCAAGGAUGACACAAAUUCGUGAGGCGUUCCAUAUUUUA
rnacentral:snRNA from 1 species